AUCAUGGUCAGUGAAAGCAUCAUUGAGAAGCUAAGAUUUUAGUAAAAUCUGAAAGAAGUAAGAGAGCAAGUUAUUCAGGUAUUCAAGGAAUAUUCCUCCAGGUGGAGGUCACAAUUUGGGGGCGGGGAAAAAUGGUGCCCAGCACAGUAAAGGAAGAUUUGUGAGUGAAGUAAAACACACAAAAAGAAAAUACGGUUAGAGGAAUUACAGGUCAGAUUACUUAUAGCCUGUAGGACUUUGGCUUUGCUCUAAGUUAAAUAGAAAGUCAAUAGAGGAUUUUGAGCAAAGGAACGAAUAAUCAACACUUUUUUUUAAAGAAUCACUCUGGUAGCUGUGUUUAGGAUAGACUAAAAGUGUGAGAUGGAAUGGAAAACUUAAAAAGGAUGAUUAGCUAAGAGGUCAUUGCUAUAAUCCAAACAAAGGAUAAUCAGUCUUACUUAGAGAAGGUUAGUACCAGAGGAAAUGGCAAGAAAUAUAUUUCAAUGAUUAAAAUUAACAGGAUGUACCACAGACUAGAUGUGAGAGGCAUAAAGAUUGACUGUAAAGAUUGUAGCCUGAGCACCCGGAAAGAAAGGAAUUCCUAUAAAUACACAGAGAGUAGAAAGAAUUUACCAAAGGCCAGUUAAGAGUGAUGGAAAAUACAGACAUCCUAAUUUUGAGAGGCCAAUUAAACAUUCAGGUAAAGAGGGGCAACUAUAUCCUGAAUUAAAGGUAGGGAUUCAGAUAAAUAUUUAAAUUUAGGGAAUUUUCAGCAUACAAAUGGUACCAAAACCAUAAGAAUGAAAGAUCACUCAUUCAUUAAGAAUGAGAAAAGAGGAGGGAUUUGAGGUCUGAGCCUUGGGCAUUCCAAAGUUAAGAAGUGAGGUUACGAAGAAGAACCAGGAAUGGAAAAUGAAAAGGAAAAGCCAGUGAAGUCAAAGGUAAACCAGGUUUGUCCUGGAAGACACGUGAAAGAACUUGCCAAGGAGGAAGUAAUAGUCAAUUUUGUCUGAUUCCACUCAUAGGUCAGACAAACUUCUGUACAAGGGCUGAAGACAGGACAAGAUGUGCUGAUGUAUAAAAAGUCUAAAUCUGCAGCAUAAUCGUGAAGAGAUGAGGAAAGCCACGUACUCAGAGCCUCACUUAAAGGAAAUGAAACAGUAAAACUGAAUCAGAUUUGGCUCUUCACUUCUGCCUUCAGUGCUGUCCAGACUCAGACAUUAUAUCAGUAGGUUUCAGUUUUACUAACCAAUAAGUUCUUUGUGUACUUAAAGUUGGUUGUUUUUUAAUGGGGAUGUGGAAUGGAGGGGUAAAUAUUUUGUGUUUUUUAAUGAGGAAUCCCAAACACUAGAGUUUUUUCUUUAUAUUGCAAAGGCACUGAUGCCCCUUCUCACAAAAUAUUUCAUGCUUCAGUAUUGGCCUAAAGUUGACUAUCUUUAUAUAAAUUAAAAUCUUCUCAUGUUUUAGUGGUGUUUUAGAAGAUCUUGACAUGUUACUUUUUGAAUUAAAGUGAAACGCAUAGCAUAUGGACUCAACAAAACCAUUCUCUGUGAAUAAAAUGUGUCACAUUCUAUAAUAAAACUAUAUAUAGCAUGUUAUUCCAUAUUCUGUAUGAUUAAUUUUAGAGAUUAUAUCUUGAAUUCUGCUAUCAAUCUACAAUGUUUAUUCAUUCAUUCAACAAAUAUUUGUUAAGAACUACUAUGUGUCAAGUACCUAGUUUGCAAC
rnacentral:lncRNA from 1 species